GUGAGAAUCUGCCCAUAGGAUAGGGACAACAGUUGGAAACGACUGCUAAUACCUGAUGUGCCGAGAGGUGAAACUUAUAUGGCCUGUGGAUGAGCUCGCGUCUGAUUAGCUAGUUGGUGGGGUAAAGGCUCACCAAGGCGACGAUCAGUAGCUGGUCUGAGAGGAUGAUCAGCCACACUGGAACUGAGACACGGUCCAGACUCCUACGGGAGGCAGCAGUGGGGAAUUUUCCGCAAUGGGCGAAAGCCUGACGGAGCAAGACCGCGUGGGGGAUGAAGGUUUGUGGAUUGUAAACCCCUUUUGAUUGGGAAGAAUAACUGACGGUACCAAUCGAAUAAGCCUCGGCUAACUCCGUGCCAGCAGCCGCGGUAAUACGGAGGAGGCAAGCGUUAUCCGGAAUUAUUGGGCGUAAAGCGUCCGUAGGUGGUUUAGUAAGUCUGCUGUUAAAGCGCGGGGCUUAACUCCGUAUCGGCAGUGGAAACUACUAGACUAGAGUGUGGUAGGGGUAGAGGGAAUUCCCAGUGUAGCGGUGAAAUGCGUAGAUAUUGGGAAGAACACCGGUGGCGAAGGCGCUCUACUGGGCCAUAACUGACACUGAUGGACGAAAGCUAGGGGAGCGAAAGGGAUUAGAUACCCCU
rnacentral:rRNA from 1 species